rnacentral:rRNA from 1 species
UACGUAGGGUGCAAGCGUUGUCCGGAAUUAUUGGGCGUAAAGAGCUUGUAGGCGGUUUGUCGCGUCUGCUGUGAAAUUUCGGGGCUCAACCCCGAACUUGCAGUGGGUACGGGCAGACUAGAGUGUGGUAGGGGAGACUGGAAUUCCUGGUGUAGCGGUGAAAUGCGCAGAUAUCAGGAGGAACACCGAUGGCGAAGGCAGGUCUCUGGGCCAUAACUGACGCUGAGACGCGAAAGCGUGAGGAGCAAACAGG